rnacentral:tRNA from 1 species
GGGGACGUAGCCCAAGGGGUAGAGGCGCUCGCCUUAAAAGCGGGUCCAGUGUGGGUUCGAGUCCCACCGUCCCCA